rnacentral:rRNA from 2 species
AGUCGAGCGAACUGAUUAGAAGCUUGCUUCUAUGACGUUAGCGGCGGACGGGUGAGUAACACGUGGGCAACCUGCCUGUAAGACUGGGAUAACUUCGGGAAACCGAAGCUAAUACCGGAUAGGAUCUUCUCCUUCAUGGGAGAUGAUUGAAAGAUGGUUUCGGCUAUCACUUACAGAUGGGCCCGCGGUGCAUUAGCUAGUUGGUGAGGUAACGGCUCACCAAGGCAACGAUGCAUAGCCGACCUGAGAGGGUGAUCGGCCACACUGGGACUGAGACACGGCCCAGACUCCUACGGGAGGCAGCAGUAGGGAAUCUUCCGCAAUGGACGAAAGUCUGACGGAGCAACGCCGCGUGAGUGAUGAAGGCUUUCGGGUCGUAAAACUCUGUUGUUAGGGAAGAACAAGUACGAGAGUAACUGCUCGUACCUUGACGGUACCUAACCAGAAAGCCACGGCUAACUACGUGCCAGCAGCCGCGGUAAUACGUAGGUGGCAAGCGUUAUCCGGAAUUAUUGGGCGUAAAGCGCGCGCAGGCGGUUUCUUAAGUCUGAUGUGAAAGCCCACGGCUCAACCGUGGAGGGUCAUUGGAAACUGGGGAACUUGAGUGCAGAAGAGAAAAGCGGAAUUCCACGUGUAGCGGUGAAAUGCGUA